UACGUAGGGUGCGAGCGUUGUCCGGAAUUAUUGGGCGUAAAGAGCGUGUAGGCGGCCAGGUAGGUCGGUUGUGAAAACUGGAGGCUCAACCUUCAGAGGUCGACCGAAACCAUCUGGCUAGAGUCCGGGAGAGGAGAGUGGAAUUCCGUGGUGUAGCGGUGAAAUGCGCAGAUAUCAGGAAGAACACCCGUGGCGAAAGCGGCUCUCUGGAACGGUACUGACGCUGAGACGCGAAAGCGUGGGGAGCGAACAGG
rnacentral:rRNA from 1 species